AGAAGCAGGCCAAUAGACCCCCAGGGUUUCUCUGAUUGCUUUGAUGCGAGGCCGACUUCCCCCUCCCAUCCCCCCGGGCUUCUCGGCAGGAGGCCUGCGGGCUCUCCCCCAACCUCGCGCCGAAUGGCGCCCGGGCCUGGAAGCCAAAGGAGCCCAAACCCCGCCGCGCCCAGAGGCAGGGCUGCUCCAGCAAGGCAGGUAACAUGAAAUGUAAGCCUCAGACGUUUUCUUCGAGGAAGCAGUUUCUGGGAGCCCCGAGAAAGGAGAAGGAUGUCAUCUCUGAGGUCGGCCGACUGAAACCUUUCGCUAAUUCUUUACCUUUUUAAAUGCAAGAUUGCCCGACUGCCUUCCCCUCCCCCGCACCUUCUGAGCAUUUCUCUCCGAUCCUCCUAAACCCUCCCGCUGCCUUUUUGCAGAAUUCCCUGAAACUCCCACCAAGUCGACAGUUCAGAGAAUGUACCCUGGGGAAUCCACGAGUCUGGGCCUCUGCAUGCCGCCGUAAGAGGUGCCUGAACUGAGGGUCCUCAGGGGCUGAAUCCCCCGCCGGGCUCUGCUCAGCCACUCUGGGGCUGUGUGGUGUGGGGCAACUCGCUGGGCUCCCUCUGUCUCGCUUAGUGCAUCCAUAAGACAUAUGAUAAUAACUGCUCUGCCUCCCUAAUGACUGUGUAGGGAUUAACGGAAGAAGAGAUUAAAACGCGUUUUGUGAUUUGCAAAGCGCUCAGCAUAAGCAAAAUACAAUAAAGAAAGACUCUUCUCUGGGAAGUCUGGGAAGGACUUCCAACCCUUUAGCCAGUUUUCCAGAGGCUACAUGAAGUGAGAUACUGCAACAGAUGGAAAGCAGAAGUAGAUAUGAGAAUCCAGCUGUCUUCCAUUGACACAGACAUUAAGGAGAUUUGCAAAAUGUUAAACAAUGUCACUCUUCUCACUAAUUUUUUUUUAACAUGGGUAAAUCUAUUUUUCCAUAAAAAUUAAG